AAUCAACGCUGGCGGCGUGCCUCAGACAUGCAAGUCGAACGCGAAAUUUCCCUUCGGGGAGAAAGUAGAGUGGCGCACGGGUGAGUAACACGUAGGUAAUUUGCCUUUGGGUGGGGAAUAACUCAGGGAAACUUGAGCUAAUACCGCAUAAUGCAGCGGCUCGACAUCGAGACAGUUGUUAAAGCGGGGGAUCGCAAGACCUCGCGCCUAAAGAGAAGCCUGCGGCAGAUUAGCUAGUUGGUAAGGUAAUGGCUUACCAAGGCGACGAUCUGUAACCGGCCUGAGAGGGCGGUCGGUCACACUGACACUGACAUACGGGUCAGACUCCUACGGGAGGCAGCAGUCGGGAAUUUUGGGCAAUGGGCGAAAGCCUGACCCACGCAACGCCGCGUGAAGGAUGAAAUUUUCGGAAUGUAAACUUCGCAAGAACAGGAAGAAUAAGUAGAAGCGAAUA
rnacentral:rRNA from 1 species